rnacentral:tRNA from 1 species
UCUUUGGUGGCUAUGAUGGUAAAGAACCUGCCUGCAAUGCAGGAGACCCAGGUUCAAUCCCUGGGUUAGGAA